AACGAACGCUGGCGGCAGGCUUAACACAUGCAAGUCGAACGCCCCGCAAGGGGAGUGGCAGACGGGUGAGUAACGCGUGGGAACAUACCCUUUUCUACGGAAUAGCUCUGGGAAACUGGAAUUAAUACCGUAUACGCCCUACGGGGGAAAGAUUUAUCGGGGAAGGAUUGGCCCGCGUUGGAUUAGCUAGUUGGUGGGGUAAAGGCCUACCAAGGCGACGAUCCAUAGCUGGUCUGAGAGGAUGAUCAGCCACAUUGGGACUGAGACACGGCCCAAACUCCUACGGGGGGCAGCAGUGGGGAAUAUUGGACAAUGGGCGCAAGCCUGAUCCAGCCAUGCCGCGUGAGCGAUGAAGGCCUUAGGGUUGUAAAGCUCUUUCAGUGGGGAAGAUAAUGACUGUACCCACAGAAGAAGCCCCGGCUAACUCCGUGCCAGCCGCCGCGGUAAAAC
rnacentral:rRNA from 1 species